rnacentral:rRNA from 1 species
CACACCGCCCGUCACACCAUGGAAGUCUGCUGCACCAGAAGUAGGUAGUCUAACCGCAAGGGGGGGCGCCUACCACGGUGUGGCCGAUGACUGGGGGUGAAGUCGUAACAAAGGUACCC